AGUGAACGCUGGCGGUAGGCCUAACACAUGCAAGUCGAACGGCAGCACAGUAAGAGCUUGCUCUUACGGGUGGCGAGUGGCGGACGGGUGAGGAAUACAUCGGAAUCUACUUUUUCGUGGGGGAUAACGUAGGGAAACUUACGCUAAUACCGCAUACGACCUACGGGGGAAAGCAGGGGAUCUUCGCACCUUGCGCGAUUGAAUGAGCCGAUGUCGGAUUAGCUAGUUGGCGGGGUAAAGGCCCACCAAGGCGGCGAUCCGUAGCUGGUCUGAGAGGAGGAUCAGCCACACGGGAGCUGAGACACGGUCCAGACUCCUACGAGAGGCAGCAGUGGGGAAUAGUGGACAAUGGGCGCAAGCCUGAUCCAGCCAUACCGCGUGGGUGAAGAAGGCCUUCGGGUUGUAAAGCCCUUUUGUUGGGAAAGAAAAGCAGCAGGUUGAUACCCCGCUGUUCUGACGGUACCCAAAGAAUAAGCACCGGCUAACUUCGUG
rnacentral:rRNA from 1 species